AUCAAUUUCAUUUUAUUCACUUACAAGCACCAGUGACAGGAAGGUGUCUUUUUAAAACAAAGCUUUUAAAAAAAGGCAAGAAAAAAAAGUUUUUGUGUUUUGCUGGAUUUCUGAAUGGACAUAUUGUACAUGAAUUUAAUUUGACAAUAUCAUAACAACCACAAUAAUAGUUAUCUAUCACCACUUUAUUUUCCAUUUUCACAGCACACAUUCAUUGUUCUGAUUUACCUCUUUCCAUGCAUGUGAUGAGAUCUGGAUUAAAAUGAGUCAUGAAGAUGUUCAUUUUCUGUUAAAGUGCCAAUGGAAUAAGAAGGAAAAAAAAAAGGAAAGAAGAAAGAAGGAAGGAAGGAGAGANACCUCUUUCCAUGCAUGUGAUGAGAUCUGGAUUAAAAUGAGUCAUGAAGAUGUUUAUUUUCUGUUAAAGUGCCAAUGGAAUAAGAAGGAAAAAAAAAGGAAAGAAGAAAGAAGGAAGGAAGGAGAGCAGAAAGAGAAAUCAAUUAGUUCACUCAAAAAAUUGGUGGUAUCCUCCUGCCCCAUCUCUACCUCUGAAGGUGUUCUAUCUCUCAGCUGCUAGAAGAUUGCUAUAAAAACAACACUGAUGGUGCCACUUUCUUGGUUAUGACCUUCAACAGAACUUUAUCUACAUUAUGGUAAUACUCUUACUUUUUAGCCUGCCCUGUAAGACCCUGACACCUGCCUGCCCAUCCUGCUUCAGCUCUCUCCAUCCCCACUUGCCUCUGCAUACAACCAGGUCAACUAUUCCAUGUUGUUUUGUCUCCUCUCCCUGAAACCUUUUCUGAUCCCAAAGGCCACUCCUUUGGGUUUCCUCAAUGUCCUGUGCUUAUGUGUAUGUAUACUUCUCACUCCUUUAGUCUCCUCCACUUGACCAUGACCUUUCGAGGACAGAAACUGUGCCUAACACAGUGUCUAGCUCAUAGCAGGUGCUUAAUAAAUGCUUGUUGAAUGAAAGGAGAAGAGAAAGC
rnacentral:lncRNA from 1 species